GAUUAUUGUUCUAUUUAUUUUUAUGAGGGAAUUUUACUGUUUCAUUGGCUAAAAUUAGCUGGUGUUUGGUUUGGUCUAUUCCUCCUGGGUAUUACUGGGUUGUCUGUUACUUACUGCUUCCUCACCUCUUUCUUCUCUUUUCAAUCUCCAGGUACACUUUUGCAUUCUACCUCAUGUGAAGAUUGAUUUGAGGAAUAAAAAGGGAAAUUCUAAAGUUCAAAACAUGUUUUCAUCUUUCUGUUAUGAGUUUAGCCUUAUUACAUUGUAUUUAUGGUGUUUUAUAACUUAGUUCAUCGUUUCUUUGUAGUUAAUUUUUAAUCUGGGCCAAUAGUAGUUGAUUCUAGCAUCUAUUUGGCGCGUUUCUCUUAAGUUUGAGCCAUAUGUGGCUAAGUAGGAGCUCUACGAGCUAUCUCUUAUCUAUUUAGCUUUAAAAGUGUAGUUGAUGUCUAGUCUUCAGUUUUCGCUUCUUC
rnacentral:lncRNA from 1 species